UAAUUUGUCUUUUCACUCUUCUUUGGAUCUUCAAUUCUCCCUAUAAGGUCUUUUUUUUUCUCUCUCUCUCUCUCUCUCUCUCAUGUUCUAAAUAUAUAAUUUUCAUGUUUGAGACUGACUAGCUAAUUAUAAGAAGUUGUUUAAUUUGUGCAGUGUUAUUGUAUAGUUCUUGAUUUUAGAAACUGGUCUUCAUUUUGUUUUUUCGGCACAAGCUAGCUGCUCUCGGUUGUCC
rnacentral:lncRNA from 1 species